GGGGAGAUACCAAAGUGGCCAACUGGAACAGACUGUAAAUCUGUCGUCAUAUGACUUCGAAGGUUCGAAUCCUUCUCUCCCCACAA
rnacentral:tRNA from 1 species